UAGAAAAAGAAGAAGGUCCAUACAUUAACAAGAUAUAAUUUAUGACUAAUUGCAGAUAUUCAGUAUUUUUUUGCCAAAUGAGGCAAAAGGUACCAACAAGAUAUUCGAACUAAUAAGAACAACUGACAAUGCCAUGGUAAAAAAAGAAAAAAACAACAAAAAGGCAAAUAACAGUUUACACCACACAGCAAAGAAAACUGAAAACUGUGCAACACGAACUACACCAAAAUCGAGGAUGAUCACAGGUGCUCCUGAAGUGUAUGCAGAUCCUGUUCCAUUUGUUGCACUCAUCAUGUUGCUAGUAUUAAGUAAAAAAAUCGUUUAAAUCUUAUUAAGUGAGGAAAAGAGGAGGGGGUUGUGGUUACGACAAUUGUGACUUACCCGUUGUCACAAUUGUAACAAAAAUUCUACAACGGUAAAAAAAAUCGUAAUGGUGUCUUUAAGGAAAGGAUGACUUCAAUUAUAUCAC
rnacentral:lncRNA from 1 species